ensembl:lncRNA
AUGGGGGGGUCGUCAGCUCGAUUGGCACAUCAAUUGCCUCGAGCUGAUGGCCGUAUUUCUGGCUCUGAAACGUUUCCUCCAUCAUUUGAGAGGCUGUCAUGUCCUGGUACGGGUGGACAACACAGCGACAGUCUCAUAUGUAAAUCACCGGGGGGUCUGCGCUCACGCAAUCUGAACAAGAUAGCGAGGCAGAUUUUUCUAUGGGCCCAGGACAAGCUCCUGUCACUCAGGGCAUUUUACAUUCCGGGGCGUUUGAAUGUGGGAGCGGAUUUACUGUCCAGGCAGACUCUACCGAUGGGGGAAUGGAAACUCCACCCAGAGGUAGUGAAACAGGUUUGGGGAAAAUUUUACGAAGCAGAGGUGGACCUCUUCGCCUCCAAUCAGACAGCGCAAUUUCCCCUCUACUUCUCUCUGAGUCACCCAGCCCCCCUGGGUCUGGAUGCGAUGGGGCACACAUGGCCCAAAAUGCGCCUGUAUGCGUUUCCUCCUUUCUCUGCUCCCGGGAGUCCUAGCCAGAGUUUGCCAACAAGGGUCUUGCCUCUUGCUGAUAGCGCCACGUUGGCCGAACAGAGUAUGGUUCUCGGAGAUAAUAUCUCUCCUCGACGGCUCACCAUUGGCAAUUCCGGAGAGGAGGGACCUUCUGUCUCAGGCAGGGGGCACAAUAUUCCAUCCCAGGCCCGACCUGUGAAAUCUUCAUGUUUGGCCCCUGAAGGGUACCAACUGAGGAACACAGGGCUUUCGCCGGGUGUUAUUGAUACUAUUCUUAGUGCUAGGGCUUCCUCCACCAGACGGAGUUAUGCCAGUAAAUGGGGUAUCUUUGACAGGUGGUGUGUGGUACACAAUGUAGAUCAAGUCAACUGCCAUAUUGCUUCAGUUCUGGAUUUCAUGCAAGAGAAAUUGUCAACAGGCACAUGCCCUGCUACUCUUAAGGUUUAUGUGGCCGCUCUUUCGGCUUGCCAUGCCUUGAUUGACGGGAUGCCACUCGGGAGACACCCUCUGCUCAUGGCAAUAACUUCGUUGAAGAGAAUUGGGGAUAUGCAGGCUCUGUCUAUCUCACCAUCAUGCUUAGACUUUGCCCCAGGGAGCGCAAAACUAAACAAAAGAUUUAACAAAAUAAAUUAA